UACGGAGGGGGCUAGCGUUGUUCGGAAUUACUGGGCGUAAAGCGCGCGUAGGCGGCUUUGUAAGUUAGAGGUGAAAGCCCGGAGCUCAACUCCGGAAUUGCCUUUAAGACUGCAUCGCUAGAAUCAUGGAGAGGUGAGUGGAAUUCCGAGUGUAGAGGUGAAAUUCGUAGAUAUUCGGAAGAACACCAGUGGCGAAGGCGGCUUACUGGACGAUUGUUGACGCUGAGGUGCGAAAGCGUGGGGAGCAAACAGG
rnacentral:rRNA from 1 species